rnacentral:rRNA from 1 species
AUGCUGCGGGCUUUGCACCCAAUCUCUGAUGUUCCUCCGGUUUUGGUUGCAGAACUAAUUGAUGUACCCUCCAGAAAGUGGGAUCGGGCUGCUGUUUACCAGCACAUGAAUGUCAUUGAUGCUGAAGCUGUGUUAAAUAUUCCGCUGAGCACUUCUGCUUCAGAGGAUUGGUGGGCGUGGCACUAUGAGCGUUUAGGUAUUUUCUCGGUACGGUCUGCGUACCGCCUGCUGGUCGAUACGAAGAGGCGAAGGGAGGAUUGGCUAUACCACCAUGGAAGUAUGUUAGAUAUGGCAUCAAAACAGAAACAAUGGCAGAAACUAUGGAAAGCAAAUGUCCUAGGGAAGAUAAAUUUUUUUCUUGGAGAUUAG